CCCUUGGCUCAACUGAGGAAGGGCAUUUGAAACUGCCCUGCUUGAGUACCAGAGGGGGAGACGGAAUUCCCGGUGUAGAGGUGAAAUUCGUAGAUAUCGGGAGGAACACCGGUGGCGAAGGCGGCUUCCUGGACCAAUACUGACGCUGAGACGCGAAAGCGUGGGGAGCAAACAGGAUUAGAUACCCUGGUAGUCCACGCCGUAAACUUUGAGUGCUAGGUGUUGGAGGUAUUGACCCCUGCAGUGCCAAGGGCGAAUUCCACAGUGGAUA
rnacentral:rRNA from 1 species